GAGAAGCGGCGGACGGGUGAGUAAUGCCUAGGAAUCUGCCUGGUAGUGGGGGAUAACGUUCGGAAACGGACGCUAAUACCGCAUACGUCCUACGGGAGAAAGCAGGGGACCUUCGGGCCUUGCGCUAUCAGAUGAGCCUAGGUCGGAUUAGCUAGUUGGUGGGGUAAUGGCUCACCAAGGCGACGAUCCGUAACUGGUCUGAGAGGAUGAUCAGUCACACUGGAACUGAGACACGGUCCAGACUCCUACGGGAGGCAGCAGUGGGGAAUAUUGCACAAUGGGCGAAAGCCUGAUCCAGCCAUGCCGCGUGUGUGAAGAAGGUCUUCGGAUUGUAAAGCACUUUAAGUUGGGAGGAAGGGUUGUAGAUUAAUACUCUGCAAUUUUGACGUUACCGACAGAAUAAGCACCGGCUAACUCUGU
rnacentral:rRNA from 1 species